GGCUGGGAUAGGAGGGGUGUUGACGUGCCCUGUACCGCAAAUCGUGACUGGCGGUCCGAACGCCUUUGGGCGGCGCAAUCGAGCCCGGAGUUUCCCUCGCAUGGACGUCGAUGUCUCGCCCUUGAGUGACUCGGGUUGCCGUGAACUGUACCCGGAAGGGGACAGGAAUCGCAUAACUGGGGAAUCAGGUCAGGCCGGGAACGGAGCAGCCCUACUCAGGGCCAUGGGUGCCUCAGGGAUGCGGGGCGGAGGAAGUGCGAGGGUUAGGCUCUGGGAAGCGAGCGUCCACCGAGGGCCCUCCCACUC
rnacentral:SRP_RNA from 2 species